rnacentral:rRNA from 1 species
AUUGAACGCUGGCGGCAUGCCUUACACAUGCAAGUCGAACGGCAGCACGGGAGCAAUCCUGGUGGCGAGUGGCGAACGGGUGAGUAAUAUAUCGGAACGUGCCCAGUAGUGGGGGAGUAACUGCUCGAAAGAGCAGCUAAUACCGCAUACGACCUGAGGGUGAAAGGGGGGGAGUCGCAAGACCUCUCGCUAUUGGAGCGGCCGAUAUCAGAUUAGCUAGUUGGUGGGGUAAAGGCCUACCAAGGCAACGAUCUGUAGUUGGUCUGAGAGGACGACCAGCCACACUGGGACUGAGACACGGCCCAGACUCCUACGGGAGGCAGCAGUGGGGAAUUUUGGACAAUGGGGGAAACCCGUGAUCCAGCAAUGCCGCGUGAGUGAAGAAGGCC